rnacentral:rRNA from 1 species
UACGAAGGGGGCUAGCGUUGCUCGGAAUUACUGGGCGUAAAGCGCACGUAGGCGGCUUUCUAAGUCGGGGGUGAAAUCCUGGAGCUCAACUCCAGAACUGCCUUCGAUACUGGAGGGCUCGAGUCCGGGAGAGGUGAGUGGAACUGCGAGUGUAGAGGUGAAAUUCGUAGAUAUUCGCAAGAACACCAGUGGCGAAGGCGGCUAACUGGCCCGGUACUGACGCUGAGGUGCGAAAGCGUGGGGAGCAAACAGG